rnacentral:rRNA from 1 species
CAGACUUGACAUAUAACUGCACGUCCUGUGAAAGCAGGAUUUCUUCGAGAGUGUUAUACAGGUGCUGCAUGGCUGUCGUCAGUUCGUGCCGUGAGGUGUUUGGUUAAGUCCAGCAACGAACGCAACCCUUGUGACUAGUUGCCACCGGAGGUGAUGAGCCUUCGAGCACUCUAGUCAGACUGCCCUUGCAAGAGGGAGGAAGGUGGGGAUGACGUCAAGUCAGUAUGGCCCUUACGUCUGGGGCUGCACACGUGCUACAAUGGCCGGUACAGAAGGUUGCGAUACCGCGAGGUGGAGCUAAUCCCCAAAACCGGCCCCAGUUCGGAUUGGAGUCUGCAACUCGACUCCAUGAAGUUGGAUUCGCUAGUAACGGCGUAUCAGCUACGACGCCGUGAAUACGUUACGCGGGCACU